UACGAAGGGGGCUAGCGUUGUUCGGAAUUACUGGGCGUAAAGCGCACGUAGGCGGACUCUUAAGUCAGGGGUGAAAUCCCGGGGCUCAACCUUGGAACUGCCUUUGAUACUGGGAGUCUCGAGACCGGAAGAGGUGAGUGGAAUUCCUAGUGUAGAGGUGAAAUUCGUAGAUAUUAGGAGGAACACCAGUGGCGAAGGCGGCUCACUGGUCCGUUUCUGACGCUGAGGUGCGAAAGCGUGGGGAGCAAACAGG
rnacentral:rRNA from 1 species